rnacentral:rRNA from 1 species
GAUGAACGCUAGCGGCAGGCCUAACACAUGCAAGUCGAGGGGUAGCAGGAUUAAGCUUGCUUAAUUGCUGACGACCGGCGCACGGGUGCGUAACGCGUAUGCAACCUACCUUAUACUGGGGUAUAGCCCGGAGAAAUUCGGAUUAAUCCCCCAUAGUACUAAUGAAUCGCAUGGUUUAUUAGUUAAAGCAUUGCGGUAUAAGAUGGGCAUGCGUCCUAUUAGCUAGAUGGUGAGGUAACGGCUCACCAUGGCUACGAUAGGUAGGGGCCUGAGAGGGUGGGCCCCCACACUGGUACUGAGACACGGACCAGACUCCUACGGGAGGCAGCAGUGAGGAAUAUUGGUCAAUGGGCGCAAGCCUGAACCAGCCAUGCCGCGUGCAGGAAGAAUGCCCUAUGGGUUGUAAACUGCUUUUAUUUGGGAAUAAACCUCUUUACGUGUAGAGAGCUGAAGGUACCAAAUGAAUAAGCACCGGCUAACUCCGUGCCAGCCGCCGCUGUAA